rnacentral:rRNA from 1 species
AUGGAAAAUUCAUCAUUGCAGCAUCUAUCAAAAUACAGCUCUUUGAGAGCAUUAAAGCUCUGUUUGUGGGGUUCAUUUCCGCUGAAACCAAAGCAUUUACAUCACCUGAGGUACCUAGAUCUCUCAAGAAGUAGAUAUAUCAAAGCACUUGCUGAAGAUAUGAGCAUUCUAUACAACCUGCAAACGCUGGACCUCUCUGGCUGCAUAUGUCUUUGUCGACUUCCGAGACAAAUGAAGUAUAUGACUGCGCUCCGUCACCUUUACACUCAUGGUUGUCCAAAGCUGGAGAGCAUGCCUGGAGACCUCUCAAAACUAACAGCCCUACAGACACUUACAUGUUUUGUAGCAAGCAGUGACUCUAAUUGCAGCAAUGUUGGUGAGCUCGGGAGCUUGAACCUUGGUGGUCAACUGGAGCUAUGUCAUCUGGAGAACGUGGAAGAAGCUGCUGCAAAAGAUGCAAACCUCGUGAAGAAGAAGGAACUAACAGAACUGACAUUAAAAUGGAGCUUUGGAUCGGAUAACAUUGUUGGUGAACAUAGCAGUCGGGAUGAUGCAAGACUGCUCGAGCAACUUAAACCUCAUGAUGGGUUGCAUGCUAUAAGGAUACACGCCUAUGGAGCCACCACCUUUCCAACAUGGACAGCUAUGUUGCAAAACAUUGUUGCGGUCCAUCUUUAUGGUUGUAACAAACUGCAAUGGUUCUUUAGUGGUGACACUAAUACAUCCUUUGCAUUUGCAAAUCUGAAGAUGCUAACGUUGCAAGAGCUUGUCUGUUUUGAGAGAUGGUGGGAAAUAGAUAAUGGAAUGCAAGCAGAAGUGAUCAUGUUUCCUCAGCUUGAGAAGUUGUGUAUUAGUCACUGUGAAAAGUUGACAGCAUUCCCAGGGCUGCCGACCUUCCCUAACCUCCAGAACACUCGUAUUGAGGGAUGUCCAGAGUUGACAACUAUAGUUGAAUCACCAAAGCUCAGUGUAUUAAAGAUGGAAGGACGUGAUGUACAGUUGUUCCAGUGGGUAGCCGGGCAUAUGACUUCAUUGACCAACCUGGACCUGCAUAGCCUUGUGGACAGUACAGAAACAACCUCAGUGGCUGCUGAGCAUGGUUUGAGGGAAUUAGUGGAUGGCAUGGACAAACGGAGUGAUCAUGAUUUUCCUCUGACAGUUUUGGUGUUACAAAACUUUCAGCUAGAUGUAACAGAGCUGUGUUCCUGUUUUGUACACCUGCAAGAUUUGUCAUUUUGUAGGUGCCAUGCACUCCUCCACUGGCCAGAAAAAGAGUUUGAAGGAUUGGUAUCCUUGAGGAAGCUUACGAUUGACCAAUGCGAGAAUCUGACUGGAUAUGCACAUGCUUCUACCAAGCCAUCAACAUCAUCAGAAACAAGUCAGCUCCUUCCACGUCUAGAUGUACUAGUGCUACGGAACUGUGGAAGUUUGGUUGAGGUCUUCAAUGUCCCUGCAUCCCUCACGGUAAUGGAAAUUAUGUAUUGCAAGAAGCUUGAGUCUAUUUCCGGCAGGAGGCUGCAGCAGGGACAGUCAGCAUCACCGAUUCAUCAAGGGUCAUCUAGUAUAGCAGAGGUGUCAUCAUCAUCAUCACCCGGAGAUUGCGCGGAGAACUUAGAAAAACUAAAAAUAGAUGAGUGUCAUAGCUUAAAAGGGGCCCUCCAUCUUCCCUCGCCGCUCAAGGUUCUAAACAUUGUUAACUGCGGUGGGUUGACAUCUCUGGAAUCUCGCUCGGGAGAGCUCUCAUCGUUGGAGCGCCUCAUACUCCGGGGUUGCAAUUCCCUGGCUUCCCUACCGGAUGGGCUGCAGGCAUACUUAUACGUCCAGCGCCUUACAGUUAGAUCCUGCCCUGGUAUUAAGACGCUCCCCGCAAGCCUGCACAAACGGCUGGACAACAUCGAGAAGAAAAACAUAGAUGCCCAUUAUUAUGAAGAUUCAUCAAGGCCCAUCCCUAUCCUUUUGAAACCGAAGACAUGGGCAUAUGCCAUCCGUAGAGAUUAG